AUACUUACCUGGCAAGAGAGACACCGUGAUCAAGAAGGCGGUUCACCCAGGGCGAGGCUCAGCCAUUGCACUCCGGCUGUGCUGACCCCUGUGAAUUUCCCAAAUGUGGAAAUCUCGAUUGCAUAAUUUCUGGUAGUGGGGGACUGCGUUCGCGCUCUCCCCUG
rnacentral:snRNA from 8 species